rnacentral:rRNA from 1 species
AGGGUUUGAUUCUGGCUCAGGAUGAACGCUGGCGGCGUGCUUAACACAUGCAAGUCGAACGAAGCUGCUUAACUGAUCUUCUUCGGAAUUGAUGUUUUGUAGACUGAGUGGCGGACGGGUGAGUAACGCGUGGGUAACCUGCCCUGUACAGGGGGAUAACAGUUAGAAAUGACUGCUAAUACCGCAUAAGACCACAGCACCGCAUGGUGCAGGGGUAAAAACUCCGGUGGUACAGGAUGGACCCGCGUCUGAUUAGCUAGUUGGUGAGGUAACGGCUCACCAAGGCGACGAUCAGUAGCCGGCUUGAGAGAGUGAACGGCCACAUUGGGACUGAGACACGGCCCAA